AUUCACGCUGGCGGCGUGCCUAAUACCUGCAAGUCGAGCGAACAGACGAGGAGCUUGCUCCUCUGACGUUAGCGGCGGACGGGUGAGUAACACGUGGAUAACCUACCUAUAAGACUGGGAUAACUUCGGGAAACCGGAGCUAAUACCGGAUAAUAUAUUGAACCGCAUGGUUCAAUAGUGAAAGACGGUUUUGCUGUCACUUAUAGAUGGAUCCGCGCCGCAUUAGCUAGUUGGUAAGGUAACGGCUUACCAAGGCAACGAUGCGUAGCCGACCUGAGAGGGUGAUCGGCCACACUGGAACUGAGACACGGUCCAGACUCCUACGGGAGGCAGCAGUAGGGAAUCUUCCGCAAUGGGCGAAAGCCUGACGGAGCAACGCCGCGUGAGUGAUGAAGGUCUUCGGAUCGUAAAACUCUGUUAUUAGGGAAGAACAAAUGUGUAAGUAACUAUGCACGUCUUGACGGUACCUAAUCAGAAAGCCACGGCUAACUACGUG
rnacentral:rRNA from 1 species